rnacentral:rRNA from 1 species
GACGAACGCUGGCGGCGUGCCUAACACAUGCAAGUCGAACGGAGAUGAUGGGAUAGCUUGCUAUUUAAUCAUCUUAGUGGCGGACGGGUGAGUAACACGUGGGCAACCUGCCCCAAAGAGGGGGAUAACACCGAGAAAUCGGUGCUAAUACCGCAUAACAUUAGAGCUUCGCAUGGAGCUUUAAUCAAAGGAGCAAUCCGCUUUGGGAUGGGCCCGCGUCUGAUUAGCUAGUUGGUGAGGUAACGGCUCACCAAGGCGACGAUCAGUAGCCGAUCUGAGAGGAUGACCGGCCACACUGGAACUGAGACACGGUCCAGACUCCUACGGGAGGCAGCAGUGGGGAAUAUUGCACAAUGGGGGAAACCCUGAUGCAGCAACGCCGCGUGGAGGAAGAAGGUCUUCGGAUUGUAAACUCCUGUCUUCUGGGACGAAUAAUGACGGUACCAGAGGAGGAAGCCAACGGCUAACUACGUGCCAGCAGCCGCGGU